rnacentral:rRNA from 1 species
AGUCGGACGGGUAACAUGGUGUGCUUGCACACUGAUGACAAGUGGCGGACGGGCGAGUAACGCGUAGGAAUCUGGCUAUGAGAGGGGGACAACCAUUGGAAACGAUGGCUAAUACCGCAUGAUACCUUCGGGUCAAAAGUGGCUACUUGUAGCUGCUGCUCAUAGAUGAGCCUGCGUUAGAUUAGCUAGUUGGUGAGGUAAAGGCUCACCAAGGCCGCGAUCUAUAGCUGUUCUGAGAGGAAGAUCAGCCGCACUGGGACUGAGACACGGCCCAGACUCCUACGGGAGGCAGCAGUGGGGAAUAUUGGACAAUGGGCGGAAGCCUGAUCCAGCAAUACCACGUGUGUGAAGAAGGCCUUAGGGUUGUAAAGCACUUUCAGAUGGGAGGAAGGCUGUUAGGUUAAGAGCUAAAUAGUUUGACGUUACCAUCAGAAGAAGCACCGGCUAACUCCGUGCCAGCAGCCGCGGUAAUACGGAGGGUGCGAGCGUUAAUCGGAAUUACUGGGCGUAAAGGGUUCGUAGGCGGUUAUAUAAGUCAGAUGUGAAAUCCCUGGGCUCAACCUAGGAACUGCAUUUGAAACUGUGUAACUAGAGUAUAGUAGAGGAGAGGGGAAUUUCCGGUGUAGCGGUGAAAUGCGUAGAUAUCGGAAGGAACAUCAGUGGCGAAGGCGACUCUCUGGACUAAUACUGACGCUGA